rnacentral:rRNA from 1 species
GAGUUCAAGAGUACGUGAACCGUUUAGGGGUAAACCUGAGAAACCGAAAGGUCGAAGGACGAAAUUCAUUCGCGUUUCGCCGCAGGCGUGGGGCGGUCGAGUGACGGAGCGCGUUCGCGCGUUCCCGCGCCGUCCGUUCUUCGAACCGGCGGCGAACGCGUGCACUUUUCUCCUGGUAGGACGUCGCGAUCCGUUGGGUGUCGGUCUACGGCGCACGGUGGAGCCCGUCCGUACGUAUCCGCGUACGGACGGACCCGGGCGUUCCGGCUGACUCGCUCGACGGUAUACGAAAGGUUUAAGGCCGCUCGAUUUCGGAGCGUUCNGCUCGCGGCAAGCGCGCUUGAUGCGUCGGCGAUCGGAGCCAGAGCCGAUUCUGACCUCUGGUGACUGUUGGCCGCGAAGUUCUCGAACAGACCUUAAGACCGAUCUGCGACGCUAUAGCUUUGGGUACUUUCAGGAGACGUCUUG